CGAGCAUAGCAUGCAGCAUCCAGAAAAGGGCAGACCACCCCGGAAGCAGCCCUAGCAGCGGGAGAAGCCAUUCUGACGUCGGGUGACCAUUCCACCCAGAAGCCGUGUUCUUUUGCCUGGGAGAGUGUGGGGAUGCGAGAGAUGGAGCGACUGCCAGAGGUGGAUCCGCUCCUCCGGAGGCUGCUUGCGGCAGGAGCUGCCGAUUGCCACCCCAGCGAAGCGGCCCGUUGUUGGGUAAGAAGAGGUUGGAUCUGCCGGGCGGCGCCGAGGCUGACCUGCCGCCAAGAGCUGUUGGGGAUACAGGCUUGGAGAUUCCAAGCAUACAACUUCGUAUCACGUUUCUCUUGUUGUGGAAGAUGUGAUACUGUUUGAGAAACCAUCUAACCAAGAGCUUGGGCACAUCAAUGCAGAGGUUCCUUUCCAUUGUUCUCUUCCUCGCGACAACAGGGGGAAAGAUGGAGGCAUCACGAUUCUGGGGCUUAGGGGCAUCAUCCCCUGUUUAGAAAUUCAGCUGACCUGCAGACUGGCAGGAGUGCAAGAACCACCUCCUGGUCCUCUACAGUAGCUUUGGGGUUUAGGGUUCAACUGAAGAACUGCACUGCAGCUGUGGUGGAGAGGUAAGGUAUUUGGGGGAAGGUUCAUAAUGAACAUCCACCGUGCUGGAAAGCAGGUGGCGCUCCCAACCACGCCAUUUGUAUAGGACUACCCUAUUAUUUUGCCUUGAGCAAGGAAGUGAACACACUCUUGUUAGCAGCAAACACACUCUGGUUAGCAGCAGACUCUGGUUAGCAGCAGCCAGUGGGGGGGGGGGUUCCCUACUCCUCCAUCCUUUCAACAGACAACCAUGGCCCUUUAUUCUUGCCAUUCAUAUGGUACGAUCCUUCUUCUCCGGUUAUCAGAGAGGUUAAAAAGGUAACCCACUUCAGAGCACUCAUGUUGCCUGGGGUGUCUCUCCACUCCACCAACCCACAUUCAUAACUUGUUUUUGUUCUUGUGGGAUGGUUCGUCCUAGGAUGUGCAAGAACCGAGAGCUCCUGUUUGCUCCUAAAGUGGCCCUGGGUAUCCCUGCUCGGAGUGGGGGGGGAGCUGAUGAUGUAAACUGGUCCCUGGAAGCCAGGGAUCCCUCAGCCUCCCCAUAGAAUUGGGCACGUCGUUCUGCCUUGCAGUGCCCCACUGAUCUGAGGUCAAGGAUAGGGGACGGAAGAGGGAAGCCUUUUCCGUUCUCUGGCUUUCAUCUGAUAAAUGGGCCAGCGUCGCAUCCGAGGCAUCCACACACGUAGCCAAGCAAUGUGGCUCACUUCACACCUGCGUUGUGGAGAGACCCAGAAAUCUAAGACUUGAACUAGGAAAAGAUCUUCCUGCAGACUCAUCCGAGAACCAGACUCGAUUGCGCUUAGAGGCAAACUCUCGAGUCCUUGUUUUCUGGAAAACGCUGGCAGGACAGGGAGAGAGCCAUGUGUCUUCUAGCGGAAGGGUGGGUGUUAUUCAAGAGAACCUGCCUUUGUUCGGCCAAAUGGGCUUCCCCUCUACCCUCUGUGUCAACGCCCGUGGGGAUCCCUAGGUUUUCGAAACGGCUACCGCUAUCCUAAGCCCAAAGAAGCCGGCGUGGUGUAGAAUCAACUUUGCUCUGCUUACCUGUCUUAUGCUUGGUUUAGACAGAGGUAGUGGGAUGUUUUAAAUACUGUUAUGUCUUAAAGAUGUGAUUGUUUUAAUGUUUAAAAUCAUUAGCUGCCUUUACUGUAUAGGCAGUGUGUUGGGACAUAAAUCUGUUAGUACAAAUAAAUAAGACUAUGGCUGGGCAGGAUCAUUUCCCUCCGUAGGGAGGAAGGGGCUUUAAUGACGCAGUGUGGCUCGUUUAUCGCAAAGAGAGCUCCCUGCAUGUAAGCGGAGCCCUGCCUCUCCUGGGUAUCCACUUCUUGGCCUGCAACUCCCAGAAGCCCCGACGGGCAGAGCUCAUGGUGGAAGCUUCUGGGAGUUUUAGUCCAAGGACGUCUGGGAACCACCCCUGGUCUCUAGGGGCUUUGGAGAGUGACAGCCCUCAGCCCCAAUCGGAAUGGCCGGGGCUCAGGGACGAGUGGAGUUGUGCGGGUAACGAAGAUAUGGGAGCCAAGAGUUCUGUGCUUUUUUAAAUUUUUAAAUGUGCUGGGAAUUGGUUUGUAGAGAUGAAGGUCCGGUUCUAGGGAGGCUCAGCGGUAGGGAUACAGCUCAGGCACAGGUUCCCCACCUUUGAUUUGCAGAGCGAACCAGAGACCGUGUGUAUUUAUGUAAACAAAAAAUGAUGUUGCAGUCACUUUUUGACAUUGCUGCUCUAUGUAAUGAUGGGAGGACAGUGUUUUUAAACAGUAAAUCCACUCUUUUUAAUUGUCAAAGGGGGGGUGGCCUAUGAAAGAACCUUCCCUUCUGGGCCUUGCAACCCUUCCGAAUUGUCGUACUGCCGUUCCUCUCAUCAUCUGGUUCCAUCGUCACAUCUUUGGGGAACGACAGGAGGGGCGCUGGAAGACCUUUGGAAGGGACUGGGCUGAGGAAGGCCGAUAGUGUGGCGGCUUUGAGUGAAACUAGCUUUAUUCCCACCCGAAACAGGGUGAAGUUUUAAGUCCACAAGAGCACUGGAGGAGCAGAGACGCUCCGGAGGCGCCAUUUAUAAGGGUCGUUUUACCUGCUUUAGGAUGUCUUUUGAAAUAGGUUAUAAUGCUGGGCUCAGUUCCUGCUGUUGAGCAUGUGUCUUAACACUGGGGCUCGGUAAGACAUUCCCGUGUCGCAGAUCCUCUUGUCUUCACUGACCAAACUUUGACAUGAAGUGUUUUGAAAAUAAAUCGCUUUGAAUCUUAA